UGCUUCCAGGAUGUAUUCACAGUUGGAUUUUCCUUCCUGAGAAGACAAGUCUGUUCUCAUACCAGCCUUGGGACAUAGCUUGGAGGAUAAAUGCACUAGAUGUGAUAAUCACCAUCCUUGUUUCACAUAUUUGAGACUGAGGUGAGAAUCAGCAGGAGAGCAUCUUCAGCUGAGGCUGAGAAGACAGAUUCCUCCAGGGUUCAGAUCUUGCCUCAAGCAUCUUGUCUGCUUGGAGAUUCCUUUGCAAAUCUGAUACAGACAGAAGCAAAGCAGAAAAGUCUGAACUGAGUGGCACAUCAGAGUGGAAACUGAGGCAGUCAUGGGCCAAGGUCUAAAAGAAGG